GGACCCGCACAAGUAGUGGAGCAUGUGGUUUAAUUCGAUGCAACGCGAAGAACCUUACCAGGCCUUGACAUCCUCGGAACUUUCUAGAGAUAGAUUGGUGCCUUCGGGAACCGAGUGACAGGUGCUGCAUGGCUGUCGUCAGCUCGUGUCGUGAGAUGUUGGGUUAAGUCCCGUAACGAGCGCAACCCUUGUCCUUAGUUGCCAGCACAUUAUGGUGGGAACUCUAAGGAGACCGCCGGUGAUAAACCGGAGGAAGGUGUGGAUGACGUCAAGUCAUCAUGCCCCUUACAUCCUGGGCUACACACGUACUACAAUGCUACGGACAAAGGGCAGCAAGUUCGCGAGGACAAGCAAAUCCCAUAAACCGUGGCUCAGUUCAGAUCGUAGGCUGCAACUCGCCUACGUGAAGGCGGAAUC
rnacentral:rRNA from 1 species